GACGAACGCUGGCGGCGUGCUUAACACAUGCAAGUCGAACGGAGUGGCGAACGGGUGAGUAACACGUGGGUGACCUGCCCUGCACUUCGGGAUAAGCCUGGGAAACUGGGUCUAAUACCGGAUAGUGUGGGAUGGGCCCGCUGCCUAUCCGCUUGUUGGGGGGGUAAUGGCCUACCAAGGCGGCGACGGGUAGCCGGCCUGAGAGGGUGGACGGCGACAUGGGGACUGAGACACGGACCAGACGAGAAGGGGAGGCAGGAGUGGGGAAUAUUGCACAAUGGGCGGAAGCCUGAUGCAGAGAGGCCGGGGGGGGGAUGAAGGCCUUCGGGGUGUAAACGCCUUUCACCAUCGACGCGGUAGAUGGAGAAGAAGCACCGGCUAACUACGUGCCAGCAGCCGCGGUAAUAC
rnacentral:rRNA from 1 species